rnacentral:tRNA from 1 species
GUAUAUAGCUCAGUAGCAGAGUGUUUGCCUAGCAUGCACAAGGCCCUGGGUUCAACUCCCAGUACCACC